GGGCUCUGAAUUCAACUGGGCUUCACAGGAAUGAUGGGUUGAGAAAUGUCUGUUUCACAGUAUGAAUUACCUGAGCAAAAUGCUCAGAUUCCUAUGCACACAGCUGCUACUAAGGACAUACCACACACACAUUUGGAGUUCCAGUGGGCUUUUAUUGAGAUAAAUUAACAAAAACCAAGAUUUUACCAUACAACAUAACACAUCCCAACAAAAACAGAGCCCCCCCCCCCCCCACUGGAACAUCUGCCAAUUAAGAGAAAGCCAAUUUUCCCUUCCCCCAAUGUUUCUGAAAUUUUGAGUUCCCACUGUUCACUUCUCAGUGGAACUGGUCCCUUGUGGCUAGGGACAUUGGAAUUCUCUACCAUUUUUACUGAACAAAAAAUAAUUUUUUUUCCUGUUUCAAAAAAGGGAAUAGUGACUUUGUUUUCUCCAGGCUAGCUCCCUCUGACCUCAUGAACUCUGACUUACUUCAGCUCUCAUGAGGCUUCCAAAGUGUUUCUAAAUCCUUAGUGCAGACACCCUCCCUUCUGGGGCAAAGUACCCUCCCUCCCACCCCUAUUAAAAAAAAAAAUUAAAAAAUUAAACCACGUCAUCAGAAUGAGAUGUUUUGAUUCCAACAAUUUAUACUCAAGGCUUUGUGCUGAGUUGUCGUUUGAACCAAGCAUGAUGUUAUCAAGCACAAAGCACGUGGCAAAGGAAAGAUGCUCCCAUCUCAUUCUGAAAACAAAUACUGAUAACCAAGCCCACCCUCCAACCCUUUGGGGCCAACCCAUUUUAUGCUGCUGGGACCAACUUCAAACAAUUUAGAGGUAUAUUUAGGCCUAGAGGUGGUAAGGUGUGUAACAGUCCAUAGCCCAUUACACAACUGUACAACCAAAGGCUAAAUGAUGAGUUGGAUGUAGUUUUAAUAUUAAAAAUAGAGGGUAGUUCUCAUCCAAAUGAGCCACUGGAAAAUAUUAUCAUUACUUAAAAAAAUACAUAUUUAAUAUUGGAAAGAAUGUGAAAACAACUUCCAAUAGUAACAAUGCUUAUUAUGAGGGCCCAAAAAAGAAAGAAAAAAAAAAAAAAAAAAAAAAAGACCAG
rnacentral:lncRNA from 1 species